rnacentral:rRNA from 1 species
UACGAAGGGGGCUAGCGUUGUUCGGAAUUACUGGGCGUAAAGCGCGCGCAGGCGGUUUUUCAAGUCAGUGGUGAAAGCCCGGAGCUCAACUCCGGAAUUGCCAUUGAAACUGUAAAACUUGAGGAUGAGAGAGGUGAGUGGAAUUCCCAGUGUAGAGGUGAAAUUCGUAGAUAUUGGGAAGAACACCGGUGGCGAAGGCGGCGACCUGGUCCGAUACUGACGCUGAGG